rnacentral:rRNA from 1 species
UACGGAGGGGGCGAGUGUUGUUCGGAAUUACUGGGCGUAAAGGGCGCGCAGGCGGCCUGGCAAGUCGAGUGUGAAAUCCCUUGGCUUAACUGAGGAAUGGCGCUCGAAACUACCUCGCUGGAGGGCGGGAGAGGGAAGUGGAACUCUCGGUGUAGGGGUGAAAUGCGCAGAUAUCAGGAGGAACACCUAUUGCGAAGGCAGCUCGCUGGGACGUAACUGACGCUGAGACGCGAAAGCGUGGGGAGCAAACAGG